UACGUAGGGGGCAAGCGUUGUCCGGAAUCAUUGGGCGUAAAGAGCUCGUAGGCGGCUUGUCGCGUCGACUGUGAAAACCCCGCGGCUCAACUGCGGGCCUGCAGCCGAUACGGGCAGGCUAGAGUUCGGUAGGGGAGACUGGAAUUCCUGGUGUAGCGGUGAAAUGCGCAGAUAUCAGGAGGAACACCGGUGGCGAAGGCGGGUCUCUGGGCCGAUACUGACGCUGAGGAGCGAAAGCGUGGGGAGCGAACAGG
rnacentral:rRNA from 1 species